UCUCUGGUGAGAUUUUGCUCAGUGGACACUAUAAGGAAAGAAUAUUUUACAGAAGAAACUGUACCGGCAAACUUCAGAGAUUAAAGCAUUCUUAGUCUUGAAAUAUCUGGUUGGCUUGGUCUGGAGUUAUAAUACUGAUGAUCAAUUUGAGAUAUCGCAGCUUUAUCUGUUGUUGAAUACAGAAGGAGCAAAUUUGACCAUUCAAAUCUUAACUGGCCAACAUUUAUCCUCGGGUAAAACUCAGGAAUGGCAUUUUUAGAGGCCAUUAGAAGUGAAACUAGUUUCCUUUUCCAGCUCCUGACAGGAGGACUCCAGCCG
rnacentral:misc_RNA from 1 species